GGGGCCUUAGCUCAGCUGGGAGAGCACCUGCUUUGCAAGCAGGGGGUCGUCCGGUUCGAUCCCGACAGGCUCCACCA
rnacentral:tRNA from 1 species